ensembl:lncRNA
CGGUUAUCGAAUCCAUCAUUGCCCGCGGGCGGUGAAUGGAUAGGCUAUAGAUAUUCUACAUAUUCUUACCCUACGAGGACCGGAGCCUGCUGUUUUUCCUACCUGAUAAUUAAUUGCACACACCUGGUAGCCAGGUCUAAAUUAGUCCCUGAUUAGAAGGGAACAAUAAAAAAAUAUGCAUUGGAACUGGCGAGGUCCAGAGAUUAGUUUGAGGGUUCUAUAUUAUAUAAAGACGCUUGACAGUUGAGAUGGCAGCUAGUUUAAUAAAGCAGAUGCCUCCACUACUAGAUUAUGACCGGGCACCGGGGCACGGGUAUGACACACUUUGUCUGUUAUGGGGUUGAGGAGCAGCGAACCGUCUCUAAAAUGGUUUGUGAUGCACAUUUGCGCUGCCUGCCUGCUGGGAGUCGAGAGGGUGGACACUGUGUGUCUGGUCGAAGCUGUCUCUCUCAGUGCAUUGUGAGUUCAUUUAUAUGAUCCGAUCCACAUGACAGGCUGCAGUAUAUGCAAUAUCCAAAGCUAUGGCUAUGGAUUAUAUAUAUAUAUGAUCCAUAAUAUAUAUAUAUAUGGAUAAAAUAUAUGGAUUAUAUGUAAUGGAUGAAUGCUAUGCUAUGAGUCCCUGUGUUUAUGAGCUAUACUGUGCUCGUCUCUGUGCUCUCAAAAUAUAAUCAUAUCCCUAGGUCUAUUUAGCAAUAGCAAAAAACGGAAUGAUGAUUUAGUGACUGUGGUGCCAUGAGAGUGUAUGCCAGCCCGCAGAGACACAGCUGGGAGCUGUCCCUUCAGCACCACCCUGGACAUGACCCCUGGUGGAUUCAGCACUGCAACACCAUGGACAGCAACCUCUGACAAGGCCCCAGUACAGACUACCUGCUGUGCAAGAGCAUGGACAGCAACCCCUAUACAAGCCACAGCUGUGGCAGCAGACCCUAGCCCCUUCAGCACCAUGGAGAGCAGCUCUUAUACAAGCCACAGCUGUGGCAUCAGACCCCAGCCUCUUCAGCACCAUGGACGGCAGCCCUUGCUACAGCAGCCCCCACAGCUUGGUUCCAAAACAGGCUAUAUCAUAAAAAUGUAGGAAAACAAAAAUGUGCCUUUUAGUCUUCAUUUAAUUUUAGAUGUGUGGUUAAGGUUAGAGUUAGUUUUAAAAUCAGAUUUUAAGAAGAUAAAUUAAAGAAAUAGGUGGGGUUUGGACUUUGCCCAGAUAGUAACGAUCCUACAGCUGCAGCACCACGAUCAUCUACUUGCUUCAUACCAGCCACAGCUGCAGCACCACGGUCAUCUACCUGCUUCAUACCAGCCACAGCACCACGGCCAUCUACCUGCUUCAUACCAGCCACAGCUGCAGCACCACGGCCGUCUACCCGCUUCAUACCAGCCACAGCACCACGGCCAUCUACCUGCUUCAUACCAGCCACAGCUGCAGCACCAUGAUCAUCUAUCUACCUGCUUCAUACCAGCCACAGCUGCAGCAGUACCCAUUAGUACAUAUUCAGCACCACGGACAGAAUACACAUUUGCAGCAAUAUGCUCACAACCACAGCUGCAAAAAAAAAAUGUGUUUGGAACCAUUGAGAUCCUAUUAAAUUACUCCUAGUAUUCUAGUAGGUAAUACUAUGUCCAGAACCAUGCACAUCUCCCUAACAGGGAGAGGUAUAGGGACCACGGAGAGCUCCUUAUUAAGUGGAGGUACAGGGACCAUGGACAGCUCCCUAACAGGGGGAGGUAUAGACCCCAUGGACAGCUCCCUGACAGGAGGAGGUACAGGGACCAUGGACAGCUCCCUAACAGGGGGAGGUGCAGGGACCAUGGACAGCUCCCUGACAGGAGGAGGUACAGGGACCGUGGACAGCUCCCUAACAGGGGGAGGUACAGGUGCCAUGGACAGCUCCCUAACAGGAGGAGGUACAGGGACCAUAGACAGCUCCCUGACAUGAGGAGGUACAGGGACCAUAGACAGCUCCCUAACAGGGGGAGGUACAGGGACCAUGGACAGCUCCCUAACAGGAGG